CAGAGGUCUCAAGCGUUGUUCGGAUUCAUUGGGCGUAAAGGGUGCGUAGGUGGCUCGGUAAGUUGAAGGUGAAAUCUCGGAGCUCAACUCCGAAACUGCCUUCAAUACUGCUGAGCUCGAGGACUGUAGAGGAGAAUGGAAUUCACGGUGUAGCAGUGAAAUGCGUAGAUAUCGUGAGGAAGACCAGUGGCGAAGGCGAUUCUCUGGGCAGUUCCUGACACUGAGGCACGAAGGCUAGGGGAGCAAACGGGAUUAGAUACCCCGGUAGUCCUAGCAGUAGACGGUGCACGUUUGGUGUGGGAGGAUUCGACCCCUUCCGUGCCGGAGCUAACGCGUUAAACGUGCCGCCUGGGAAGUACGGUCGCAAGAUUA
rnacentral:rRNA from 1 species